AUGUGCAGGUGCAGGAGUUGCCGUUGUUCACAAUGAGGUUUCUGAUCUCACUGUGUGUGUCUCUUCUGCUGCUGAUUAAUGGUGAAAUUAUCAAUGGACAAACUUCAGUUGCUUACAGCAACAUCAGCAGUGAUCCCUGCUACAACUAUGAGUCUCUGGAUCGUCCCUGGAGAGCCAAACGAAUGAAAGUGGAGUGCACAU